CGUGCAUGUAAAUGUUUUUUGCAGGGUGAUGCAAACAUAACUAACGCCCCCGGACAGUCCCUCCAGAUCAGAUGCAUACAACUCGCAGAACCUCAUCGGUGACUUCUCAAGCCUUGUUUAUACUUUCGCCUGGAUCCGCAUCACCCCAAACGGACGAGGCGUUUAUACUUGACGCGCUCGCCGUUGUACUAUUCUUUGAAACUAAAGGGGGCGACUCGGAGUAAUCGUCCUCUAAACCAACAGGAAGUAGCUGUGCGAAGAAGUAGUUUGACUCAAGCAUGGCGUCUCGCGUGAAGUUGCUGAAUGAUGAUGAUGAUGAGGAGGAAUUGGUGUGUUUGUUGUUGUCUGAAAGACGAAGAGAAGAUGGAAUGUCCGUCCAUUAAAUAUCACUAGACACAGAGAUGGCGAAUAUACCGCUCUUGUCAGACAGACGAGGAAAUGCACUUCAGCUACUUCCGAAUGUCUGCUCACCGGUUUGACGACUUGUUGCAUCGCAUCAAGCCGUAUCUUGAACGUGAAAGAACCCACAGGAGCCCAGUGAGUUUGUAAGAGAGGCUGGCCCUCACACUUCGCGUACUUGCGUCUGGUAGUAGCCAAAAAUGUGUUGCCUCAAGUUAUAAAUUUGGAUCGUCCACAGUCUCUCUGAUUGUGAGCGAGGUCUGCCAAGCCAUCUGGGUUGCUCUGAAAGGCGAUUUUGUCUCCCCACCAAAAGGCAGGACUUUUGGAGUGUGUGGAACUUUCCCAACUGUUUGGGUGCGUGGAUGGGGAAACACGUCAUAAGCAAUGCAACACCAAACGCUAGGAGUGACUUCUACAAUUAUAAAGGAACACACUCCAUUGUUCUCAUGGCAGUCUGCGAUGCCAAAUAUCGCUUCACUAUGGUGGACAUUGGUUCGUACGGACGUGAAAGUGAUGGUGGAAUUUUCAAGGACAGUGACCGUAUUUUUGGUUCCAGGCUCCACAGCUUGAAAACCUGCCAGGCACCAACACCAAGCUGCCACAUGUGUUCCUGGGAGAUGCUGCAUUUCCACUGCAUGUGAACUUGGUGCGACCAUAUCCAGGUGCCAACUUUGAUGAUGCCCGUGAAGUGUACAAAUAUAGAGAGUCACGGGUCAGAAGCGUUAUUGAGAACACUUUUGGCAUCCUGGCAGCAUGCUGGAGGAUUCUUGGGCAACCCAUGGAGUUCCAGCCCGAAAAGGCAGUGGAUGUUGUGAAGGCCUGUGUGACUCUUCACAAUAUGUUAACCUGCACUGAUGCUGCAAUGUCUCCUGCAUCAAAGUACAUUCCUUCAGAUUUUGCAGAUGGUACCACAGCAUCAGGGGAACACAUGCCAGGUGAAUGGAGAAGGCUUGUGUCUGGAGACAACAACUUGGUUGCGCCAGGAUGACUGUCCAGUGCAUGAGCAUCCCGGGCUGCAGUCGCUAUGAGAAAUGACCUAAAGUCAUUUUUUCUCAUACCACAGGGUCUUGCACCUUGGCAGGACACUGUCAUCAUAAGGGGCUGUCUACAGUAGUAGUGCUGCAAACUUAGUAGUUGAACAGUGUUGUUUUUGUCUUGUGUGCCUAUUUUUUUGACUUAAAAUAUUUGUUUUUAUUGAUGUUCAACUGUUUAUAAGAACAUUUGUAAUAAAAGCAUAAAACAUAAA